UAGCAAUAACUAUUGCUGUGAGGAGCCGCC
rnacentral:piRNA from 1 species